rnacentral:rRNA from 1 species
AUACGUAGGGGGCAAGCGUUAUCCGGAUUUACUGGGUGUAAAUGGAGCGUAGACGGUAAAGCAAGUCUGAAGUGAAAGCUCGGGGCUCAAACCCGGAACUGCUUUGGAAACUGUUUUACUGGAGUGCAGGAGAGGAAAGCGGAAUUCCUAGUGUAGCGGUGAAAUGCGUAGAUAUUAGGAGGAACACCAGAGGCGAAGGCGGCUUACUGGACUGUAACUGACGUUGAGGCUCGAAGGCGUGGGGAGCAAACAGGAUUAGAUACCCUGGUAGUCCACGCGGUAAACGAUGAUCACUAGGUGUCGGCGGCCAUAGGCGGUCGGUGCCGCAGCAAACGCAAUAAGUGAUCCACCUGGGGAGCACGUUCGCAAGAAUGAAACUUAAAGGAAUUGACGGG